CUGCAAUGCCGCAGUCUCUGCAGCCAUCUUGUGGGGAUUCUGGGCAUGUUCACUGCGCAGUGACUGGCUGCUAACAGCCGGCUUGCAAGCUUUACUUCCUUGCCUCAGCAAAUUUUGUCUGGGUCAGAGUGAACUCUGACUCUGGGUGCUGCACUGGCCAGGCUUCCCAGCGCCAGAUCUCGGUGUGCAGUUGAAGUGGAUGAAGUCGUUUAUCAGCAAGGAACAUCACAAGUGUCGUACAACAAAGAAGUCCUUCCAGAUUGGAUAUUAAGACAAAGAGCUUUUGGCAUUUGUGCAGACUUAAAUGAACAUCUGUGUUUCUGA
rnacentral:lncRNA from 1 species